CAGCACAGGUGUUUUUUUGUGUGUGUGUGUGUAAAUCAUUUUUUUUUCUGUCAUCAAAUUGAAUUUGAAUUCUUAGUUUGUUUCUCGUUUAAAGAGAAAGACGAAAUAGAUUUUUCACCAUCACACACAUCAAAUCAACUACGUCAAUUGAAUGUUGAAUUUAUUCACAAUCAUCAUCAUCGAGUGAUCAACCUCAAUAACGAUAACAGCAAUCAAAUAUAUUUCGUAAUUGAACCUGAUGCAAACAAACAAAAAAAAAUUAACCCGAAAAAAAUCGUAAAAAAAAAAUUUU